AUGUGGUUUAAUUCGAUGCAACGCGAAGAACCUUACCUGGGCUUGACAUCCCGGGAAUCCCCUGGAAACAGGGGAGUGCCCUUCGGGAACCCGGUGACAGGUGCUGCAUGGCUGUCGUCAGCUCGUGUCGUGAGAUGUUGGGUUAAGUCCCGCAACGAGCGCAACCCUUGUCUUUAAUUGCCAUCAUUUAGUUGGGCACUUUAAAGAGACUGCCGGUGUUAAGCCGGAGGAAGGUGGGAUGACGUCAAAUCAUCAUGCCCCUUAUGUUCUGGGCUACACACGUGCUACAAUGGCCGGUACAGACGGACGCAAAGCCGCGAGGUGGAGCAAAUCCUAAAAAGCCGGUCUCAGUUCGGAUUGCAGGCUGCAAUUCGCCUGCAUGAAGUCGGAAUCGCUAGUAAUCGCAGGUCAGCAUACUGCGGUGAAUACGUUCCCGGGCCUU
rnacentral:rRNA from 1 species